rnacentral:rRNA from 1 species
GUUUUUUUAUUUUACCAAACAAGCUCAAAAACUUAAGAGUUAUUCAAAUUAGGCACAGCUUAUUUGAAACAGGAUACAACCUCAACCAUUGGGUAAACAAGGGUAAUAAAAAUAAAGUGGGCCCAAAAGCAGCCACCUUCCAAAAAGCGUCAAAGCUUAAUUACUCAAGCCCGUAAUUUCCAAAACACUCUACAACCCCUCAUCUAUACUGAACUAUUUUAUAUAUGUAUAAAAAUAAUUAUGCUAGAACUAGUAACAAGAAGUUGCCCUUCUCCUUAAUGUGAGCAUACACCAAAACGGACACUCCAUUGGUAGCUAACGUAGAUGCAAAACCAUAAUAACAUAACCAGAAAACCUUAUGGCCACCCAACGUUACCCUUACACUAGAGCAUUACAGGAAAGAUUAAAAGAAAGAGAAGGAACUCGGCAAAUUUUAACCCCGCCUGUUUACCAAAAACAUCGCCUCUUGAUUAAACAUAAGAGGUCCAGCCUGCCCAGUGAUAAUAUUAAACGGCCGCGGUAUACUAACCGUGCGAAGGUAGCAUAAUCACUUGUUCUUUAAAUGGGGACUUGUAUCAACGGCAUCACGAGGGUUAUACUGUCUCCUCUCUCCAAUCAGUGAAACUGAUCCCCCCGUGAAGAAGCGGGGAUUUUAUUAUAAGACGAGAAGACCCCAUGGAGCUUUAAACUCGACAUACACCAAGGCACUAAAACACCAAUUUAACCCAAAAACCUGUACGUCAGUUUUAGGCUGGGGGGGCCACGGAGUAAAACUAAACCUCCACAACAAAUGGGCUAACACCCUUAUCUAAGAUUUACAAAUCUAAGAAUCACCAAAAUGAUGUUUAAUGACCCGAUAAUUCGAUCAAUGAACCAAGUUACCCUGGGGAUAACAGCGCAAUCUACUUCAAGAGCCCUUAUCGACAAGUAGGUUUACGACCUCGAUGUUGGAUCAGGGUAUCCUAGUGGUGCAACCGCUAC